GAUUAGUCGACUAAUCGUGGCAGCCCUAAUUACUACUAACCAGAAGUGAUUCAGCAGCAUUGGGUUCUGGAGCGUAAGGAGCUUAUAGACGUUAGAAACUAUGUUUGCUAGCUUAUACUACGAGAGAAACUGUCAUGGUGCCUCUGUCAGUCUCCUCCCCCUCUCCACUCUCCCCUCCUCUCCACCUGGCUGCUGAUCAUCCCCAGCUGCAACCACUCAUCUCGUCUCCUCACCUGCCUACUUAAGGAGCUCCAGGACCUUCAUUCCCCGCCAGUCCGUUGCCCCUGAUGGAAUCUCCUACCUCGAGUGGUUGCAUGUUUUUCCCCACUUCCGGAUCUCCAGUCGGGUCUCCUUCCACGGUCACACCACGAGCCUCUGCCUCUGCUUCACGUUCCUGCGUCCAAGACGGCCAUCUCCCUCUUGGAGGACAAGAUCGCCUACUACGCCUCCAACCUCUGCCUCCUGCUCGGAGCCUGCUUCCUGUCCUGUUCAGGACCCAACCUUCUCACCACAUUAUUAAAAUUAUUGCCUUCCA